AUUGAACGCUGGCGGCAGGCUUAACACAUGCAAGUCGAGCGGAGAUGAGGUGCUUGCACCUUAUCUUAGCGGCGGACGGGUGAGUAAUGCUUAGGAAUCUGCCUAUUAGUGGGGGACAACAUUCCGAAAGGAAUGCUAAUACCGCAUACGUCCUACGGGAGAAAGCAGGGGAUCUUCGGACCUUGCGCUAAUAGAUGAGCCUAAGUCGGAUUAGCUAGUUGGUGGGGUAAAGGCCUACCAAGGCGACGAUCUGUAGCGGGUCUGAGAGGAUGAUCCGCCACACUGGGACUGGGACACGGCCCAGACUCCUACGGGAGGCAGCAGUGGGGAAUAUUGGACAAUGGGGGGAACCCUGAUCCAGCCAUGCCGCGUGUGUGAAGGAGGCCUUAUGGUUGUAAAGCACUUUAAGCGAGGAGGAGGCUACUUUAGUUAAUACCUAGAGAUAGUGGACGUUACUCGCAGAAUAAGCACCGGCUAACUCUGUGCCAGCAGCCGCAGUAAUAC
rnacentral:rRNA from 1 species